GACGAACGCUGGCGGCGUGCCUAAUACAUGCAAGUAGAACGCUGAAGCGAGGAGCUUACUCUUCUUGGAUGAGUUGCGAACGGGUGAGUAACGCGUAGGUAACCUGCCUUGUAGCGGGGGAUAACUAUUGGAAACGAUAGCUAAUACCGCAUAACAAUGUAUGACACAUGUCAUUUAUUUGAAAGGUGCAAUUGCUCCACUAUAAGAUGGACCUGCGUUGUAUUAGCUAGUAGGUGAGGUAAUGGCUCACCUAGGCGACGAUACAUAGCCGACCUGAGAGGGUGAUCGGCCACACUGGGACUGAGACACGGCCCAGACUACUACGGGAGGCAGCAGUAGGGAAACUAAGGUAAUGGGGGCAACGCUGACCGAGAAACGCCGCGUGAGGGAAGAAGGGUUUCGGAUCGGAAAGCUCUGUUGUAAGUGAAGAACGGGUGUGAGAGUGGAAAGUUCACACUGUGACGGUAGCUUACCAGAAAGGGACGGCUAACUACGUG
rnacentral:rRNA from 1 species